GACGAACGCUGGCGGCGUGCUUAACACAUGCAAGUCGAACGGUGAAGCGCCUUCCUUUUUGGUGGGUGGUGAUGAGUGGCGAACGGGUGAGUAACACGUUAGUAACCUUCCCCCUUCUUCUGGAUAACCGCAUGAAAGUGUGGCUAAUACGGGAUAUUCUGGGUCUGUCGCAUGAUGGGUCUGGGAAAGAUAUUGUUUCGGUUGGGGAUGGGCUCGCGGCCUAUCAGCUUGUUGGUGGGGUGAUGGCCUACCAAGGCGGUGAGGGGUAGCCGGCCUGAGAGGGUGGACGGUCAUGCUGCGACUGAGCCACGGACACGACUACUACGGGCGGCAGCAGUGAGGAAUCUUGAACGAUGGGAGCAAGGAUGAUGCAGCGACGCGGCGUGAGGGAUGGAGGCCUUCGGGUUGUGCACUUCUUUCGCCAGUGAAGCAGGCCUGACUCGUCUGUGGGUGGGUUGACGGUAGCUGGAUAAGAAGCGCCGGCUAACUACGUG
rnacentral:rRNA from 1 species